AUUGGAAGCUUGCUUCCGAUAGGCGUCGACGGGCGCACGGGUGAGUAACGCGUAUCCAACCUGCCCACCACUUGGGGAUAACCUUGCGAAAGUAAGACUAAUACCCAAUGAUAUCUCUAGAAGACAUCUGAAAGAGAUUAAAGAUUUAUCGGUGAUGGAUGGGGAUGCGUCUGAUUAGCUUGUUGGCGGGGUAACGGCUCACCAAGGCAACGAUCAGUAGGGGUUCUGAGAGGAAGGUCCCCCACAUUGGAGCUGAGACACGGUCCAAACUCCUACGGGAGGCAGCAGUGAGGAAUAUUGGUCAAUGGACGAGAGUCUGAACCAGCCAAGUAGCGUGCAGGAUGACGGCCCUAUGGGUUGUAAACUGCUUUUAUAAGGGAAUAAAGUGAGUCUCGUGAGACUUUUUGCAUGUACCUUAUGAAUAAGGACCGGCUAAUUCCGUGCCAGCAGCCGCGGUAAUACGGAAGGUCCGGGCGUUAUCCGGAUUUAUUGGGUUUAAAGGGAGCGUAGGCCGGAGAUUAAGCGUGUUGUGAAAUGUAGACGCUCAACGUCUGCACUGCAGCGCGAACUGGUUUCCUUGAGUACGCACAAAGUGGAAGGAAUUCGUGGUGUAGCGGUG
rnacentral:rRNA from 1 species